CAGCCGCCGCGGGAAUACGUAGGUCCCGAGCGUUGUCCGGAUUUAUUGGGCGUAAAGCGAGCGCAGGCGGUUAGAUAAGUCUGAAGUUAAAGGCUGUGGCUUAACCAUAGUACGCUUUGGAAACUGUUUAACUUGAGUGCAAGAGGGGAGAGUGGAAUUCCAUGUGUAGCGGUGAAAUGCGCAGAUAUAUGGAGGAACACCGGUGGCGAAAGCGGCUCUCUGGCUUGUAACUGACGCUGAGGCUCGAAAGCGUGGGGCGCAAACAGGAUUAGAUACCCCCGUAGUCCCUGUCUCUUAUACA
rnacentral:rRNA from 1 species